UACGGAGGAUCCGAGCGUUAUCCGGAUUUAUUGGGUUUAAAGGGUGCGUAGGCGGCCUUUUAAGUCAGCGGUGAAAGUCUGUGGCUCAACCAUAGAAUUGCCGUUGAAACUGGGGGGCUUGAGUAUGUUUGAGGCAGGCGGAAUGCGUGGUGUAGCGGUGAAAUGCAUAGAUAUCACGCAGAACCCCGAUUGCGAAGGCAGCCUGCCAAGCCAUGACUGACGCUGAUGCACGAAAGCGUGGGGAUCAAACAGG
rnacentral:rRNA from 2 species